GCUAUCCGGUGCUUCGCCUGCUUUCAUGGGGCCUUGCUAUUUAAUAUUCUCUACUGGCAUUGUCGCAGAGGGAGUGGAUUGCCUGCAACUGAGCUUACCAUAACUACACUUGAAUCGUUGGUUCCAGUCCAUAAUUGGUACGACCGGACCGCGUCCAGGCCUAGCCCACGGCUAUAAAUUUCCCAGAUGGGUCUGGUGCACCAAACAAAAGGAAAAGGUCGAUUCAGUGCACCCGCGCUCAUAAGAAAACAAAAUGGUUGAUCCUAAUCAAUCACCUCAAUUUUAGUGACUUUGACCCCGUCAUUUGUCAUGACAUGAGUCAAACCCAACAAUGUCACGGCAUAUAAAAAAUUUCCUCCUUUUUUCAGCCCGUUGUAUGCGAAUGAUACUCUAAUCUUGAACGUUGGAUUGAAAUUAGGUUACAACAUCGAUCCUUAAUUAUCAGAGACAAGCAGUAAAGUGAGUCGGCUUCUUAUUCCGACUGCGCGCUAACUGCUACGUAUUUUGGAUCUAAGACGGCACUGAGCUGUGGGUUUGGUACUUGUUUCGUCAUUUCAUUUGCCAGGUAAGUGUGUUCUCUGAGGUUAACAAAAGUCCAGUUUUUAACCAUCUGUCCCGACCUUAUUCAAUUGUUUUAAAAUCAUUCUGUCCCAGAGAAGUUUAACAUAGUUCGUUUUGUGUUGGAUUUCUUGCUCCAGAGUAUCUCUCAUUUUUGGUUGACGUGAUUUCUUCAAAAUCUGAUCAUUGCGG
rnacentral:misc_RNA from 1 species